rnacentral:piRNA from 1 species
UCAAGCAAUUCAUUUCAGGGUGUUAGGUC